rnacentral:misc_RNA from 1 species
GCAAACUUGGUCAUUUAGAGGAAGUAAAAGUCGUAACAAGGUUUCCGUAGGUGAACCUGCGGAAGGAUCAUUAAUGAAUUUAAACUUGGCAGAUUAACGGCUGGCUUUCGAGCACUUGUGCAGUGUCUGUCAUUUUUAUAUAUCCACCUGUGCACCUUUUGUAGACCACUAGACAUGAAAUUUGGGGUUGGAUUUUUCCAAUGACUUUUCAUUGGGUUUGAGGAUUGCUUUGCCAUUCCUUGUGAAGUAGUGUCUAGUGUCUAUGUUUAUUUCAUUAUACACCAUGAUAAUUGUGAAUGUAUGUGGGCAUUAAUAAUAAAAAGUUUAUACAACUUUCAGCAACGGAUCUCUUGGCUCUCGCAUCGAUGAAGAACGCAGC